UCACGCUCGGGACCACAUUUUCCCAGAGCCUGUUUCUCGUGUUGUCUGUCCCCAGAUGAGGGAGACAGUGCCAUGUGUUAGGUGGGAGACGGCCGGACCUGUCCCUCAGGCCUUGAACUGCCCACCGUGCUGCUGCAGAUGGAACGGAGCCGGCGGGCCCAGGAGCAGAAUUCCAGGCUGUGCCCAUCGCCCCAGGCUGAGGACUCCCUGAGCCAGGACUAUCAGCUUCUGGAGGGGCCUGCCCAGCGACCCCUCCUUGUGCCCCCAGAUCCUCCUGGGGUUCUCACUCAGUUGUACCCAUAUGGUUGCCCCACAGCCUCUGGACAAGGGGGCUGGCAAAGGACCCAUCGUCAGCCCUGGAUCUGAGUGAAGCCAGGUUCGAUGCAGACCCAAGGUGGGAGAGCCCUGGCAUGCCUGCAGAAGGGCCCACAUCUGGUUGCUCACAAGAGCUGAACCUCACCACCAGCAGUAGCUUUGGAGAAGCCGGAAGCUCAGAGUUCAAGGAGCUGGCCCAGAGGGAAGACAGGGAGCUAGCAGGGCCCAUGCCCCAGAGGCCCCAUCAACCACCGUCCAGAAGCCUACAGGAGAAGCUGGCUCAGGGAGCCCCAGGGCCCUCAGGCCUCCUCUCCCAGAGCCUGCCAGAACCCCAGGAUCCCCUGGAGGGGCUGGGCUGGAUCCUGGGCCAGGAGAGAGCAGAACUAAAGAAACUACUAAGCAUUGAGAUUCCUCAGAGUCAGAGAGAGGGGGCCCCUCAGGAUCAGAGAGGGAAGGCCUUCCAGGGGGAGGACAAAGAAGUUCCUCCAAGUAAGAGAGAGAAGACAAACGAGGGUCAGAGUGGGGAGGCCCCUCAGGCUCUGAGGGAAGAGGUCUGGGAAGGUCAAAGGUGGGAGGCCUCCCAGGGUGAGAACAAAGAGGCUCCUCGAAGUCAAAGCGGAAGGCGCCUUAAGUGCCGGAGAAAGGAGGCCCUCCCGGAGCGGAAUGAAGAUUCUCCUCAGGGCCCGGAAGUGAAGACGCUUCAGUCUUCCGAGGGCAGAGGCCGUAUCUCACAAGCCUGGGAGGUGGCUCCGGGAGAGGCACCUACACCGCCCCGGGAGGAAGGCGGCUCCCUGGGAAUUCCGGGGGGCUUCUGCAGGCCCCUGGGAGAACAGAUGCUGCAGCCUGGGGGAAGGGAGGGCCCGGACCCGCGGGGAAGGACCACCCAGCUGAGGCAGGUUAAGAACGGUGGCCCGAGAGGAGAGAGCGCAGCGGCCGUGAGAGAGCAGGGGCCCGCCCGGGAAGGGGCGCCGGCUCCCCUUACGCCCCCGGGGCCUCCGGCCCGGCCGCCGCUCCCACGCCCAGGAGCGGUGUUGCUGGCGGCCCUACGCACUGGUGGUUCCGAGCAGCGGGAGCGCUCCGCAGCUCUCCCAGGGCACCCGGGCCUGCUGAGCGAUCCGCACUCACUUCGGGGCCCGGGAGGAAGCCCUGGCCCCGCGGAGCAGGAGCUGGGCGGCUCCAUGGGGCUCCCGGGCGCCCUCGGGGGGCGGAGGGGAGGUGCCGAGGCCCCCAGAGCCUCGAAGACCGCGUGGCCCGAGUCCCCGAGCAGGGACAGGCGGUCGGCGGGCGUGAGCGCGGCGCAGCAGGAGACGGCUCUGCAGCGGCUGCUGAAGCUGCACAGUGAGGCCAGGCGUCGGCGGCAACAGGACCGCGAGCAGCAGCGGCUCCGGGUCUUGGGACGCCUCCGCAUCGCCAGGAACCGCCACUGCCGCGUGCACCCCUUGAGAUCCCCACCGAGCCCGGCUCAGCUCCCACCACAGGAGGACGCAGCCGGGCAGCGGCGCGCACUGCGGGAGCAGCCGAAGCAGAUGCAACGGGAGAGGACCGGGCGGCUGCCGAAGCAGAUGCAACGGGAGAGGACCGGGCGGCUGCGAGCUCUCGGGGCCAGGGACACCCAGAACUUCCAGCAGCUACUGUGGCCCCCUGGCUCUGAGGAGCCUGCACCUGGAGAGCAUCGCUCACUCUUCCUAGCCCCCUCUGGUCACUGCUGAAUCCUCAAAGGGACGACUAAAGAGACGGGGAUUUAAGGAAAAAGCAAGAGGGCAACCUGUAGGUCAGAGGUAGUUUCAGAAAGGCCCAGAACGCAGCCUCGGGGCCUGGGAGAGCCAGACACAGACACACAUGGCACUUUCGGCCCACCAGGUGUGUUAUUUCUUCUUCCCUCCCCUAAGCCCACUGCCUGGCCCAGGGUCAGAGGGCCAGGUCCUGGGGGUCAAGCAGUGCGAAGGCCCCAUUCUUGCGGAAGAAAGAUUCAAUGCGGCACAUCUUGCAGGAGACCAGUUCUUGCUUCACUGGGGGGCCUGGGAAAAGAUGUCAGAGGCCAAGAAUGGAUUCCUGGGAAAGGAACUCGCAGAGCCCGGGAGCCCUGCCUGCAUAACCCUAGGAAUCUGCCUGUGUUGUAUCCACUUUGAGCUGGAGAAAACAUGUGACUGAGUAGUCUCACUUGAAAUGCAUGACCACAGACAGCAAAGGGACAUGUCUCAUCACCCAGCAAACCCACAACACCCCCUGGCAUAUUCUUUUCCCCACACCUUGACUCUUCAUCUCCAACUGCACCAUUGCCUUCGCUCCUCUCCUGCCCAGCUGAUGACCAUGACUCAAUCCAGAUGGACAGCCUUCUGGCCAAUACCAUCUCCCUACCGCUCGCUGUGUCCUCUGCCGUCUCCAGUUUGAUCCAGCCUCUGGAGCUCCCUGGGGCGACUCCCAUACACAGCUGACUCGCCGACACCUCCAGCGCAAAACACCCAACACUGACCUGUCUUCACACAGCCCCAGCCCUGCCCCCGCCCCAGUCUCCCCUGCUGUAGCUGCUUCAGCCAAACACCUGGGCAUGGCCAUUGCAUUCUUCUUCCUUGUCUUUUUCAAACCAAUACUCCUCCUUCCAGAAGUUCUGCUGCACUGUGUCCAUGUUAAGUUGCCGAGACAUGGUGGCAAAGGAAGGAGCAGGACCAGGGUGACUGCAGCUGAGGGGUGAGCGCAGCAAGCAGAGCCCUUCUGACAGCAGGUGGCUGCCCAGCAGCCAGUGGUCGCUAGGCAACCGAGCCUCACCUCACACAGGGCCAUGCCCUCAGCAUGCCUCACAUGCCUUGCUUGCUGAGGCAGCCUCAGGCCGGGGCCCACUGGCUAAGAGCCUUGAUCCCCAAACCUCUUGCUUGACCCAGGCUAGUAUCACAGGCUUCCAGGUUUCCUGUGAUUUCUGCUUCCUUCCCUUGAGGUCUGGUCCCCUCCCAGCCAAUACAGACUCAAGCUGGGGUGCCAGGGGACUGGACGCGAGCCUCCUUCCCUUCCUCCCCGCCAGAGCUGGCUACCUUUAAUUCAGAGGACCAAUCUGGCACAAUCUUCCUGGUCCAACUCCUCUAUGCCUGGAUCUUUGGCAAAACCUUUUCCAGCCCUGCCAGUCGAAUCCACCCCCCCACCGCCUCCCCACAACAGCCUCAUCCCACACGUGUCCUUUCUAGCACCCAGCCUCAGAUCAGAGAGAAGCAAGAACUACUUUAAUUUAACAUCAACAAGGACACUGUAUAACAGCACAGGGAAGAGGUAAUGGAGAGAAGACACUCAGACUUCCUAUACCCUAACCAGCCUUGAUUUGAAUGGCAGAGCCCCAGCAAACUGGAAGCAUCUCACCUAGCCUCUCAGUGGAGUGGGAAGGGGCAGGGAAUUGGAACUCAGAGGAUCGAAUCUUAGAGGAGGGCUGAUGGCAAGCCUGGGGAGAGGCCACAUGGCUGAGGGGAGUCCCCUAGCGCAGGUCUUCGGCCGUGAACAUGCCCCUGGCCCUGCGCAGGAUGGAGUCCUUGGCAGCAUCAUAGGGGUGCUCCUUGGAUGGGAUCUCCAGCACGGCCGGAAUGGAGCGCUGGUGGGCAUCGAGCGCGUGCCGCACCAUCUCUGCGAUGUACUGGUUGAUGAGGAUGAUGCCGAUGUCGUCCCGGCUUAGAAACUGCCUGUAGGGAGAGAUGAGAAGGGAGUCCAAGGCAGCGCACUCUGAGUUGGUGGGCUGGGCUGCAGAGGGGAACGAGCUCGAUCCAGAGAGUGCAAUGGACAAGGAUGCUACACUAAACUCUCUUCAUUCUAUUUAGAAUCAAUUUCAGUCCAAAGCUAAGGGCCAUGGCUUCUACCUCCCCUGCCUGGAAGGCUCCCAACUGAACUGCUAAUGAAGAUGAGGGUGCAUGCUGGUGUAUUCCUUACACUGCCUUCGGGUAAAAAAGGGAGAGGAUAAGAAUAUAUACAUUUGUCCCUUUGUAUCUGCAUAAAGAAAAAGAAAGAUAAGGAAAAAACUAAGUGGUUACAGGGUGGAGGAAGGAGGUAAUGAAGUAGAAGAGGUCGGGGUGGGAGUGUGACUUCUCAGUGCAUGUACCUUUUAAAUAUUAAUUUGUAAACCACAUGAACACAUUAACCUUUCAAAAGAAAACAGAUUAAAUUUUUUAA